AGUAAAGNGCGCACGGGUNAGUACGCGUGGGUAAUCUACCCUCGAAUUUGGAAUAACUUCGCGAAAGCGGGGCUAAUACCGGAUAAAUAUUAAUUGAUCUUCGGAAAUAUUGAUCAAAGGUGGCCUCUACAUGUAAGCUUCCGUUUGAGGAUGAGCUCGCGUACCAUUAGCUUGUUGGUAGGGUAAUGGCCUACCAAGGCUACGAUGGUUAGCUGGUCUGAGAGGAUGAUCAGCCACACUGGAACUGACACACGGUCCAGACUCCUACGGGAGGCAGCAGUGAGGAAUUUUGCGCAAUGGGGGAAACCCUGACGCAGCAACGCCGCGUGAGUGAUGAAGGCUUUCGGGUCGUAAAGCUCUGUCAAGUGGGAAGAAAAUACAAAUUGAUAAUACCCUUUUGUACUGACGGUACCACUGAAGGAAGCACCGGCUAACUCCGUGCCAGCAGCCGCGGUAAUACGGGGGGUGCAAGCGUUAUUCGGAUUUACUGGGCGUAAAGGGCGCGUAGGCGGUCUCUUAAGUCAGAUGUGAAAGCCCGGGGCUUAACCCCGGAAGUGCAUCUGAAACUGGGGGACUUGAGUAUGGGAGAGGGAAGUGGAAUUCCUGGUGUAGCGGUGAAAUGCGUAGAUAUCAGGAGGAACACCUGUGGCGAAGGCGACUUCCUGGACCAAUACUGACGCUGAGGCGCGAAGGCGUGGGGAGCAAACAGGAUUAGAUACCCUGGUAGUCCACGCAGUAAACGGUGAUCACUAGGUGUAGCGGGUAUUGACCCCUGCUGUGCCGCAGCUAACGCAUUAAGUGAUCCGCCUGGGGAGUACGGUCGCAAGGUUAAAACUCAAAUGAAUUGACG
rnacentral:rRNA from 1 species